GUUAUUCUUGUAAUAACUCUGGAUAUUUUUAAAGAAGUAAUAAAAAGACACCUUCCAUUCUUUCACCUUUUCAUAGGAUUCUUUUACAAAAAGACAGAUUGUCCUAAGAAGAAAAUAAAUAUUGUCAAUGAUCCUUCUUACAAGUAAAGGGCCAAAUUCUUCUGAAUUACCUGUACUUAUGUUACAAAGAAAGAAUUAUUCCUUCAUUCUAUACUUCUCCUUUGCUAACAACUAACCCAAGAAACUUAACACUUUGGGUCAUUAACAUGUUCAUUUAAAACAUUUUUCCAACCCAUUUAUAUGUAUUUUAAUAGAAUAAAGAAAGAUAAAAUACCUUAGAGUCAAGAAGGAUUAUUUUAUAAUUUGGUUAAUCUGUCUUUGACAAUUUUUCCCAGAAGAGACUGGGCAAUAUCUUCUUUUGUUUAUUUUCAAUGUCCAAUUAAUGUUUUUAUUGUUUUAUUUUUUGUAAGUAAAAAUAAUAUUACAUAUCCAAUGGAAUAUAUCACUUAUUUCCUUUUCUUUAUGCUCAUCUUCUGAGCAUAAACAAAGCUUGACACUUUCCUACACUUUUAGGAAAUUAGUCACUCUCAGUCUUGUGAGUUGUUUUAUUUUUAAGAGGUUUAGAAGUAUUGAGAAUGUGAUUCCAGGACAGAUUCAUUUCUUCUUGCAUCAUUGACAUUUCUAUGCACCUUAAAGACAAUGAUAACAUGCAAAAUGAAGAGCACUACUGCAUAUAUUGUGUCCACGGCUCCAGAAACUUAUAGGAAACUACAAGUAGUCUGUGUACUUCUGUGCACUUUCUUCUUCUCUCUUCUUUGGCUAGAUCAAAUAGCCAGUGGCUGCUAG